CAUAAUCUAAGCUUGAAUUUAGCAGGGGAAGAAACUUGGAAGAACAAGUUUUUGGUGAAGUGAAGAAACAAUAUGAUAUUGAUAGGUUACCUCGUACCCAUCAUCCUUGUGGUGGGCAUGAUCAUCUUGACUUUUGUAUGGAUAUGGUGUGGCUGCGAGCGGACACGAGUGACGCCUAAUUCUUAAGCUGUAGAACUUUUCUAUUAUCAAUGCAUCAACUAUUUUCUUACAAUAUGAUGAAUUUAUAGAUUAGUAAGCAAUAGAAUAGCAUA
rnacentral:lncRNA from 1 species